UACGGAGGGGCUAGCGUUGUUCGGAAUUACUGGGCGUAAAGCGCGCGUAGGCGGCCUGACAAGUGGAAGGUGAAAUCCCUCGGACUCAACUGAGGAACUGCCCUCCAACUGUUUGGCUUGAGACCGGGAGAGGUGAGUGGAAUUCCCAGUGUAGCGGUGAAAUGCGUAGAUAUCUGGAGGAACACCGGUGGCGAAGGCGGCAUCCUGGACCAACACUGACGCUGAGUGAGCGAAAGCCAGGGGAGCAAACGGG
rnacentral:rRNA from 1 species